rnacentral:rRNA from 1 species
UACGGGGGGUGCAAGCGUUGUUCGGAAUUACUGGGCGUAAAGGGCGCGUAGGCGGUUGGAUAAGUUGGUGGUGAAAACCUCGAGCUUAACUCGGGGCCUGCCAUCAAUACUGCCCGGCUGGAGUGUGGGAGAGGAGAGUGGAAUUCCCGGUGUAGCGGUGAAAUGCGUAGAUAUGUGGAAGAACACCAGUGGCGAAAGCGGUUUUCUAGCUUAUACCUGACGCUGAGGCGCGAGAGCAAGGGGAGCAAACAGG